rnacentral:lncRNA from 1 species
AGAGGAACACUUUAUUUGAUCUGUCCUAGGACUACAUAGGCUUGGGCAUGUGGUGAGAAUGGCUGAUGGUCGGAUUCCAAAAGAUCUCCUAUAUGGAGAAUUAGCACAGGGAAAUCACCCCAGUGGGAGACCACAGCUGUGAUACAAAAGUAUCUGUAAGCGGGAUCUGAAGGUCUUAGGAAUGGACCUCAACAGAUGGGAAACCUUGACAUUUGAGCGUUCAGCCUGGAGGUAGGAGGUGCAUCACGGCCUCUCCCAAUUUGAAGAGACCCUUGUCCAGCAGGCUGAGGCCAAGAGGCAGUCCCGAAAGCAACAAAAUCAGGGAGCUGGACAGGGGACAGAUUGCAUUUGUCUUCAGUGUGGAAGGGAUUGUCACUCUUGAAUUGGCCUUCUCAGCCACACUAGAUGCUGUUCCAAGUCCUCCAUACAGAGCACAUUACCAUAGUCUCUCGAGACUGAAGGAUGCCUAAUCCUAACUCUCCCACUAUGUUGCCAGGCAGAUGAUCCCUGGGCUUUGGUUUUAAAAAAGAGGGGGGGAAACCUCUCCUUAUUUGCUUUCUUCACAUCAUACAUAGUUUUAUACACUUCUCUUCCCGUCUCCCCUUAUUUACCUUUUAUUUUCCUAAACAGAACACACCCACCGAACAUUUGUCACCUUUUUUUAUAAGGAAGCUGCUCCAGACCAACAGUAAAAGGUUGCCAUUCCCAUCCUUUCUUUUCUUUUUUCUUUUUUCUUUUCCUUUUUCGGGGUGGGAGUGAUGUUUACUGUGAAAUCCUAUGCCUCAGGAUCCAGAUGUAAGUCUGAGUGAAGUCGAGCUGAUUUAUUCAUGGGCAUCUAUGAUGAAAACUAAGUUGAUUCCUCACUCUCUACACCAACCCAGUGAACUUGCCACAUACCCCAUCCUAUGAUGACAGGACCUUAAAACCAACCAGCUUUCCUCACUGGAUGGGGGUUGAAAGCGAUGACCAGAAAACCAGCUACAGUAUUUCAUCACAGAAAACAUGAACUCCAAUCCAGUCACUGACCCCAAGUAUCUUUAUACUAAUUGAAUAUGUAUGAAUCAUUGGUUUUGAAAAUACAUGUGUUGCUUAAGAGCAGUCAUUUUAAACUUAGCAAUAUUCUUCUGCCUAUAAUGAAUAUUUUCUUUAAAUAAACAGUCUUCCACUCCAGGAGGCA